AUUGAACGCUGGCGGCAUGCUUUACACAUGCAAGUCGAACGGCAGCGCGGGCUUCGGCCUGGCGGCGAGUGGCGAACGGGUGAGUAAUGCAUCGGAACGUGCCCAGUAGUGGGGGAUAGCCCGGCGAAAGCCGGAUUAAUACCGCAUACGACCUGAGGGUGAAAGCGGGGGACCGAAAGGCCUCGCGCUAUUGGAGCGGCCGAUGUCGGAUUAGCUAGUUGGUGGGGUAAAGGCUUACCAAGGCGACGAUCCGUAGCUGGUCUGAGAGGACGACCAGCCACACUGGGACUGAGACACGGCCCAGACUCCUACGGGAGGCAGCAGUGGGGAAUUUUGGACAAUGGGGGCAACCCUGAUCCAGCCAUGCCGCGUGCGGGAAGAAGGCCUUCGGGUUGUAAACCGCUUUUGUUCGGGAAGAAAUACUCUGGGCUAAUACACCGGGGGGAUGACGGUACCGGAAGAAUAAGCACCGGCUAACUACGUG
rnacentral:rRNA from 1 species